rnacentral:rRNA from 1 species
CCCUUAGAUGUUCUGGGCCGCACGCGCGCUACACUGACGAAUGCAACGAGCUUAUAACCUUGGCCGAAAGGUCUGGGUAAUCUCCAAAUUUCGUCGUGAUGGGGAUAGAUUAUUGCAAUUAUUAAUCUUCAACGAGGAAUGCCUAGUAAGCGCAAGUCAUCAGCUUGCGUUGAUUACGUCCCUGCCCUUUGUACACACCGCCCGUCGCUCCUACCGAUUGAAUGGUCCGGUGAAGCGUUCGGACCGUGGCCUUUGGACGGUUCGCCGUCUGUUGGCUGCGGGAAGUUCGUUAAACCUUAUCAUUUAGAGGAAGGAGAANUCGUAGCA